CCUACGGGUGGCAGCAGUGAGGAAUAUUGGUCAAUGGGCGCAAGCCUGAACCAGCCAAGUCGCGUGAGGGAAGACGGCCCUACGGGUUGUAAACCUCUUUUGCCGGGGAGCAAGCCUGAGCACGUGUGCCCAGGCGGAGAGUACCCGGAGAAAAAGCAUCGGCUAACUCCGUGCCAGCAGCCGCGGUAAUACGGAGGAUGCGAGCGUUAUCCGGAUUUAUUGGGUUUAAAGGGUGCGCAGGCGGUCUGUUAAGUCAGCGGUCAAAGCCCGGGGCUCAACCCCGGCCCGCCGUUGAAACUGGCAGUCUCGAGUUGGAGAGAAGUAUGCGGAAUGCGCGGUGUAGCGGUGAAAUGCAUAGAUAUCGCGCAGAACUCCGAUUGCGAAGGCAGCAUGCCGGCUCCACACUGACGCUGAGGCACGAAAGCGUGGGUAUCGAACAGGAUUAGAUACCCGUGUAGUC
rnacentral:rRNA from 1 species